UGCAUCCGCCGGGAAUCGAACCCGGGCCGCCCGCGUGGCAGGCGAGCAUUUUACAACUGAACCACUGAUGC
rnacentral:tRNA from 1 species